UACGUAGGGCGCGAGCGUUGUCCGGAAUUAUUGGGCGUAAAGAGCUCGUAGGCGGCCUGUUGCGUCCGCUGUGAAAUCCCGGGGCUUAACCCCGGGUCUGCAGUGGAUACGGGCAGGCUGGAGGCAGGCAGGGGAGAACGGAAUUCCCGGUGUAGCGGUGAAAUGCGCAGAUAUCGGGAGGAACACCGGUGGCGAAGGCGGUGCUCUGGGCCUGGACUGACGCUGAGGAGCGAAGGCGUGGGGAGCGAACAGG
rnacentral:rRNA from 1 species